rnacentral:lncRNA from 1 species
GAGUAGAGGGCAGACAUGGGAAAGGUGGGGGAGGCACAGCAUAGCAGCAUUUUUCAUUCUACUACUACAUGGGACUGCUCCCCUAUACCCCCAGCUAGGGGCAAGUGCCUUGACUCCUAUGUUUUCAGGAUCAUCAUCUAUAAAGUAAGAGUAAUAAUUGUGUCUAUCUCAUAGGGUUAUUAUGAGGAUCAAAGGAGAUGCACACUCUCUGGACCAGUGGCCUAACAGUUCAGGACAGAGCUAUGGGCUUCCUAUGUAUGGGUCAGUGGUCUCAAUGUAGCAGGCAAGUUCCAGAAGAUAGCAUCAACCACUGUUAGAGAUAUACUGCCAGUCUCAGAGCCUGAUGUUAAUUUAGCAAUGGGCUGGGACCCUCCUCCAGUAGAACCUUCUAACCAGCUGCUGCAGUCAAAGUCGAAUGCAGCUGGUUAGACUUUUUUUAAUGAAAGCUUAGCUUUCAUUAAAGAUUAAGCUCCUAAGCAGGGCACAGAUGAAAUUGUCUAACAGCAACUUUGCCAUCUAAAAAAAUCUGACUUCACUGGAAACAUGGAAGCCCAAGGUUCUGAACAUGAGAAAUUUUUAGGAAUCUGCACAGGAGUUGAGAGGGAAACAAGAUGGUGAAGGGACUAGAAACCACAUGAGAGACACGAGGAAAUAGUGUAGAUUUAGGCUGGAGGUAAAUGAAAGAGAAGUGGGAAUUAAUACUUACUGAAAUCUUUCUAUAUGUCAGGUGCCAUUUUAUGAUAUUUAAUAAUCUCAUUACAUAUGGUAAUUCUGUGAGAUAUGUAUUAUUGAACAUACUAUAAUUAAUACUAAUGAUAAGUAACACCUCUUGAGUACUUAGUAUAUGCUAGAAUCAAAUUUAAGUUUAUCAUAUGAGGCCGGGCACGGUGGCUCAUAUAUGGGAUUACAUGCCUGUAAUCCCAGCACUUUGGGAGGCCAAGGCAAUUGGAUCACCUGAGGUCAGGAGUUCCAGACCAGCCUGGCCAACAUGGUGAAACCCCUUCUCUACUAAAAAAUACAAAAAAUCAGCCAGGUGUGGUGGCACGCGUCUAUAAUCCCAGCUACUCAGGAGGCUGAGGCAGGAGAAUCACUUGAACCCAGGAGGUGGAGGUUGCAGUGAGCUAAGAUUGCACCACUGCACUCCAGCCUAGGCGACAGAGUGAGACUCCAUCUCAAAAAAAAAAAAAGAA